GAAAGUCAUUAAUCACAAAUCACUGUUGGUGUUCACCACGACAGAAACAAUUCGUCCAAUUUCUUCUCCUUCUUCUUCUUCACUCUCUCGACAUUUCUGUUUCGUGAAUUUUUUCGAUUCUCUCUCUCUUUUCAAAUUUAGAGCGAAUCAGAAGCGAAAAUGAGCAAGGGGCCAGGGCUGUUCUUAGAUAUUGGCAAGAAGGCCAAAGAUCUGCUGACGAAAGACUACCUCUCCGAUCACAGAUUCUCCGUCUCCACCUGCAGUGAAUCCGGAGUGGCCCUGACCACAACUGCAGCAAAAAAAGGAGGCUACUCAUCUGGUGAUGUUGCAGCCCAGUACAAAUACAAGAAUACCUUCGUUGAUGUCAAAGUUGAUACUGAAUCCAAUAUCUCAGCUAUUCUAGCUGUUGCUGAUAUCGUCCCCUCAUCAAGAACUAUCGCCACCCUGAAAUUUCCCAAUUAUGAGUCUGGCAAGCUGGAAUUUCAAUACUUUCACCCUCAUGCAUCCCUCACUGCAGCUGUUGGUCUGAACCAAGCCCCUCCAGUUGAUGUCUCACUCACCCUUGGUACUCCAACUUUUGCUUUGGGUGCAGAAGCAGGUUAUGAGACUACCUCCGGCAAAUUGAUUAAGUAUACUGCAGGCAUCACCGUGACAAAACCAGAUUCCUGUGCCUCAGUAAUUCUGGGUGACAAAGGCGACACUAUCAAGGUAUCAUACAUACACUACCUGGAUCAAUUAAAGAGGACAGCUGCUGUGGGAGAGAUUAGCAGAAAAUUCUCCACAAACGAGAACAUAUUUACAGUGGGAGGUUCUUAUGGCAUUGACAGUCUGACGCUCCUGAAAAUGAAGCUCAAUAAUCAUGGCACACUAGGGGCUGUUUUGCAGCACGAGGUCAUACCAAAAUCACUUGUAACUAUAUCCAGUGAAUUUGACACUAGGGCCUUGGAUAGAACUCCCAGGUUCGGCGUAUCCCUUGCACUUAAACCAUGAGAUCAUCUUACCACAGUUGGAUGCAGUUUGAAACCACUUUGAGUGUUUUGAGGUUGCGCUGGAAGGAAGCGCAAAAUAACUACCAGUAAUUUACUGUUUUUAGAUACAAGGUGAUUAAGCAUAAAAUGCACUGAUCCGAGGGUCGUGGUUCUUCCUCAGUUUUCCAGCUUGUGUUGAGGCUUUUCAGCAUGAAAAAUAUUCUUUGGAGUUCUUGGGUGAACAAUGUUUUGUAGCUUUAUCUUCAGAGAUUUCUUAUGCAUGGGUGAAAGACAAGACCCCUCAUGCAUAGGAGAAAGUGGCAUGACCUGUAGAAACCAGCCGUGGGAGUUUAGUUCAAGAGGGGAAAAGAAAACAUGGGAAUCUGAAAGAACUGCAAAACAGACUUAAUAUUAAGAUUGUUCGAAGAGAGAUGAAAGGCUUGUAAAGGAAGAUGAUUUAGAGCGAGAAUUACAUCGUUCUAAUGUUAUAGGUUCUCAAUUGACUUGAAACAGAACUUUAGAUAAGACUGAGAAGAUGUAACUGGUGAGUCAUCUCACUUUUAUCUUACACUCGACUGAGACGGAUGAGCUGAUUUAGAUCAUUA